rnacentral:tRNA from 1 species
GCGGAAAUAGCUCAGUUGGUAGAGCACAACCUUGCCAAGGUUGGGGUCGCGAGUUCGAGUCUCGUUUUCCGCUCC